AGGAUGAACGCUGGCGGUCUGCUUAACACAUGCAAGUCGAACGGAGUACCUCGGUACUUAGUGGCGGACGGGUGAGUAACGCGUGAGAAUCUGCCCUUAGGUCGGGGACAACCAUUGGAAACGAUGGCUAAUACCGGAUAAGCCGAGAGGUAAAAGAUUAAUUGCCUAGGGAAGAGCUCGCGUCUGAUUAGCUAGUUGGUGAGGUAAAGGCUCACCAAGGCAUCGAUCAGUAGCUGGUCUGAGAGGAUGAUCAGCCACACUGGGACUGAGACACGGCCCAGACUCCUACGGGAGGCAGCAGUGGGGAAUCUUGCGCAAUGGGCGAAAGCCUGACGCAGCAACGCCGCGUGGGGAUGAAGGCUCUCGGGUUGUAAACCCCUUUCAGCAGGGACGAAUCAAGACGGUACCUGCAGAAGAACGCCCCGGCUAACUACGCGCCAGCAGCCGC
rnacentral:rRNA from 1 species